AAAAGGAGUUGCAGGCGGGAGCAGGAGGAAGAAGAAGGUGGAGAAGAAAAUAAGAAAAGAAAAAGAAAAAGAAAAAAAGGAAAAGAAAAGAAAAGAAGAAAAAAAAAGGAAAAAAUAGAGAAAAUGUUGGAAAAAUUUCAGAAAAAAUUAUAGAAAAUAAGGAAUUAUGUUUCGGUGAUAUUUCAGAGAUUUUGGUGAGAAAAACAGUCCGGGCACACGUUUCAAGGAUGGGGCACGCAUACCGAGAAAAUUCGAGAUGCUAAGUUAAGGAUACGUUGAGACUGAAUUUGAAGAGACUCGCACAAAUUUUGAGGUUGGCACGCAAAUCGAGGCAAGACACGGAUAUCGAGGUAGCCCGAUAAGCUCUAGAAGGUAAGUGGUACUUCCUCGAUAAUGAUUUCAUCAUAUUGACAUGCCCUGAUAUGUAUCCAUCACGUAGAUUGCAUACAUGACUAUGAAAUGCAUAAAUACACGUUGAUAUCAUCGAUCACACGCAUAUGAGGCCGUAGGGGGUACGAACUGGCACCGCUGCCUUACCAAGGGUGCACCCAUACACCCCGGCUUCGAAAGAGGUGGCCGCUAAAAUGGUAGGUAACAUGAGGGGUGCAGUUGACACCUACGAUGAAAGACAUUGCACACACUCAUGACAUAGCAUUAUGUUCCCUUACUUAGAUGGUUCAUCAUCUAACUUGGGUUCGCCCCU